rnacentral:misc_RNA from 1 species
GUGUUUAAUCCUUUUACGUCUCUCUUUCGCUUGGCUUGCAAUUGCAAACCCCUGAAUUCAGUAGCUUCAUCGUUUCUUCUUUUCUAAUUCAGGUUCUGGGUUUUAGAUCAUCUAAUGCCUAUCAAGCUUUGAUUUCUCGAUCUGGAAAUUGUUUAUUUUGGUCUCUAAUUUUGAUUUUACUUUGGGGCUGCCUCUUUCAAGGCUUAUGCGGCUACACGAUCCCCAUUUCCGAGAUUGAUUAAAAGGACCUUCUGUUAUUUGCCUGUUUAUGCCUUGGCUUUUUUAUUAUCCUGCCAUAUCUAUAGUUGCUUUUUCAUCCAAAGAAUCUUUCAAAAUUCAUCACUUGGCUUAUGACUAACCUAAGGAAGAGAGCAGCUUUGUCUGUGCUGGAUUGAUCAUCAUGUAAUGGAUCAGAAUUUGUAGCUUCAGAGGUCUUCUCUGUAUUAGAACAAUGGAUUUGCACAACAAUUCUCAUCC